GGGGUGCAGCAGGCGCGAAAACUCUGCAAUAAGCGAAAGCUUGACAGGGUUAUUCUGAGUGAUUUCCGCUAAGGAAAUCUUUUGGCACCUCUAAAAAUGGUGCAGAAUAAGGGGUGGGCAAGCCUGGUGUCAGCCGCCGCGGUAAUACCAGCACCCCGAGUGGUCGGGACGAUUAUUGGGCCUAAAGCAUCCGUAGCCGGUCUUGCAAGUCCUCCGUUAAAUCCAGCUGCUUAACAGAUGGGCUGCGGAGGAUACUACAAGGCUAGGAGGCGGGAGAGGCAAGCGGUACUCAGUGGGUAGGGGUAAAAUCCUCUGAUCCAUUGAAGACCACCAGUGGCGAAGGCGGCUUGCCAGAACGCGCUCGACGGUGAGGGAUGAAAGCUGGGGGAGCAAACCGGAUUAGAUACCCGGGUAGUCCCAGCUGUAAACGAUGCAGACUCGGUGAUGGGCCGGCUUUAUGCCAGCUCAGUGCCGCAGGGAAGCCGUUAAGUCUGCCGCCUGGGGAGUACGGUCGCAAGACUGAAACUUAAAGGAAUUGGCGGGGGAG
rnacentral:rRNA from 1 species